AUCUCUUUCGUAAAUAAGAAAAACAGAAAAAAAAAAAAAAAUAAUGUCUAUUUAAUAUUCAUGGUUUUGAGAAAACUACAAACAAAGUCCCACCAAUUUUAUUUUUUAUACAACGACUACAGAUUCGGAAGUGUCUGCAUCUUCGUACUUUUAAUGACUAUAAACACAUCAGGGAAACGUUUGUUGAAUUAUUAUUUUAUCACAAUACACCAAUGACAAGCUGUCUUUUCUGCACCUGUUGUGCAUACACUUUGGACAUUUCUUUUCUCAUACAACAUGUUCUUUUCUAUGAGAAUAAAUUUGCAUUUAUUUCAGUAUAAGCAAAC
rnacentral:lncRNA from 1 species